CCUACGGGCGGCUGCAGUGGGGAAUAUUGCACAAUGGGCGCAAGCCUGAUGCAGCCAUGCCGCGUGUAUGAAGAAGGCCUUCGGGUUGUAAAGUACUUUCAGUCGUGAGGAAGGUGUUAAGGUUAAUAACCUUAGCAAUUAACGUUAGCGACAGAAGAAGCACCGGCUAACUCCGUGCCAGCAGCCGCGGUAAUACGGAGGGUGCGAGCGUUAAUCGGAAUUACUGGGCGUAAAGGGCACGCAGGCGGUUAAUGAAGGUGGAUGUGAAAUCCCGGGGCUUAACCGGGGAAUGGCAUUCAAGACUGGUUAGCUGAAGUCUUGUAGAGGGGGGUAGAAUUCCGUGUGGAGCGGUGAAAUGCGUAGAGAUGUGGAGUAAUACCGGUGGCGAAGGCGGCCCACUGGACAAAGACUGACGCGCAUGUGCGACAGCGUGGGGAGCAAACAGUAUUAGAUACCCGUGUAGUC
rnacentral:rRNA from 1 species